rnacentral:rRNA from 1 species
GAGGCAGCAGUAAGGAAUAUUGGUCAAUGGGCGGAAGCCUGAACCAGCCAUUCCGCGUGCAGGAAGACUGCCCUAUGGGUUGUAAACUGCUUUUUUUCCAGGAAUAACCCCAGGUACGUGUACCUGGCUGAAUGUACUGGAAGAAUAAGGAUCGGCUAACUCCGUGCCAGCAGCCGCGGUAAUACGGAGGAUCCGAGCGUUAUCCGGAUUUAUUGGGUUUAAAGGGUGCGUAGGCGGCCCAUUAAGUCAGGGGUGAAAUACGGUGGCUCAACCAUCGCAGUGCCUUUGAUACUGAUGGGCUUGAAUCCAUUUGAAGUGGGCGGAAUAAGACAAGUAGCGGUGAAAUGCAUAGAUAUGUCUUAGAACUCCGAUUGCGAAGGCAGCUCACUAAGCUGGUAUUGACGCUGAUGCACGAAAGCGUGGGGAUCGAACAGGAUUAGAUACCCUGGUAGUCCACGCCCUAAACGAUGAUAACUCGAUGUUGGCGAUAGACAGCCAGCGUCCCAGCGAAAGCGUUAAGUUAUCCACCUGGGGAGUACGCCCGCAAGGGUGAAACUCAAAGGAAUUGACGGGGGCCCGCACAAGCGGAGGAGCAUGUGGUUUAAUUCGAUGAUACGCGAGGAACCUUACCCGGGCUUGAAAGUUAGUGAAGGAUGCAGAGACGCAUCCGUCCUUCGGGACACGAAACUAGGUGCUGCAUGGCUGUCGUCAGCUCGUGCCGUGAGGUGUUGGGUUAAGUCCCGCAACGAGCGCAACCCCUAUGUUUAGUUGCCAGCAUGUGAUGGUGGGGACUCUAAACAGACUGCCUGUGCAAACAGUGAGGAAGGUGGGGACGACGUCAAGUCAUCAUGGCCCUUACGUCCGGGGCUACACACGUGCUACAAUGGAUGGUACAGCGGGCAGCUACAUAGCAAUAUGGUGCUAAUCUCUAAAAGCCAUUCACAGUUCGGAUUGGGGUCUGCAACUCGACCCCAUGAAGUUGGAUUCGCUAGUAAUCGCGUAUCAGCAAUGACGCGGUGAAUACGUUCCCGGGCCUUGUACACACCGCCCGUCAAGCCAUGAAAGUUGGGGGUACCUAAAGCAUGUGACCGCAAGGAGCGUGUUAGGUUAAACCGAAGGCU